ensembl:rRNA 5S_rRNA 5S ribosomal RNA
CUCUAAUGCCAUACCACCUUGGGCACUGAUCUCAUGAGAUCUCAUACUAAGCAAGUCAGGUCUGAGGAGUACUUGGAUGGGAGACCUCUAAGGGAAAAAAGUGCUGAAGGAA